rnacentral:rRNA from 1 species
UAUCCGGAUUUAUUGGGUUUAAAGGGAGCGUAGAUGGAUGUUUAAGUCAGUUGUGAAAGUUUGCGGCUCAACCGUAAAAUUGCAGUUGAUACUGGAUGUCUUGAGUGCAGUUGAGGCAGGCGGAAUUCGUGGUGUAGCGGUGAAAUGCUUAGAUAUCACGAAGAACUCCGAUUGCGAAGGCAGCCUGCUAAGCUGCAACUGACAUUGAGGCUCGAAAGUGUGGGUAUCAAACAGGAUUAGAUACCCUGGUAGUCCACACGGUAAACGAUGAAUACUCGCUGUUUGCGAUAUACGGCAAGCGGCCAAGCGAAAGCGUUAAGUAUUCCACCUGGGGAGUACGCCGGCAACGGUGAAACUCAAAGGAAUUGACGGGGGCCCGCACAAGCGGAGGAACAUGUGGUUUAAUUCGAUGAUACGCGAGGAACCUUACCCGGGCUUAAAU